GUCAGUGUGGCAUAGUGGUUUGAGCGCUGGACUACAACUCGGGAUAACAGGGUUUGAUUCCCAGCUCAGCUA